rnacentral:rRNA from 1 species
UACGGAGGGUGCAAGCGUUAUCCGGAUUUACUGGGUUUAAAGGGUGUGUAGGCGGACAAUUAAGUCUGGGGUGAAAUCCCGGGGCUCAACCCCGGAACUGCCUUGGAUACUAUUUGUCUUGAAUUAUGUUGAGGUUGGCGGAAUAUAACAUGUAGCGGUGAAAUGCAUAGAUAUGUUAUAGAACACCGAUUGCGAAGGCAGCUGACUAAGCAUAUAUUGACGCUGAGGCACGAAAGCGUGGGGAUCAAAC